AUGGGACCAUGCUGUUGUGGAGGAAUUCGUUCGUUCUUGCACCAUUUGUCAGCCCAACAAAACCGAGCACUUGCUGCCAGCUGGCCUUGUACAACCACCUCAGGCGCCAUCUCAAGUGUGGGUAGACAUUUCCAUGGACUUCAUCGAGGGCCUUCCCAAAUUCCGCGGCAAGACUGUGCUCUUGUCAGUGGUGGAUCGCUUCUUGAAGGCAGCACACUUCAUACUGCUUGCCCACCUAUACACUGCUGCAGCUGUAGCACAGGCCUUCUGCACAGAGAUUGUCCGUCUACAUGGCCUACAUGUCGUCUUCAAUGGGAACCGGUCUUCACCAGCAACUUUUGGUCUGAACUAUUUCGCUUGGCUGGGGACAUGAGUUCAGCCUUUCACCCACAGUUGUAA
rnacentral:rRNA from 1 species